rnacentral:rRNA from 1 species
UACCAGCACCCCGAGUGGUCGGGACGUUUAUUGGGCCUAAAGCAUCCGUAGCCGGUUCUACAAGUCUUCCGUUAAAUCCACCUGCUUAACAGAUGGGCUGCGGAAGAUACUAUAGGGCUAGGAGGCGGGAGAGGCAAGCGGUACUCGAGUGGGUAGGGGUAAAAUCCUCUGAUCCAUUGAAGACCACCAGUGGCGAAGGCGGCUUGCCAGAACGCGCUCGACGGUGAGGGAUGAAAGCUGGGGGAGCAAACCGG